UCUCCGUAGGUGAACCUGCGGAGGGAUCAUUACAGAGUUCAUGCCCUUUGGGGUAGAUCUCCCACCCGUGUAUACAUACCUCUGUUGCUUUGGCGGGCCCGCCUCGGCCACCGGCUCCGGCUGGUGAGUGCCCGCCAGAGGACCCCAAACUCUGAAUUUUAGUGUCGUCUGAGUACUAUUUGAAUAGUUAAAACUUUCAACAACGGAUCUCUUGGCUCUG
rnacentral:misc_RNA from 1 species